UACCAGCACCCCGAGUGGUCGGGACGUUUAUUGGGCCUAAAGCAUCCGUAGCCGGUUCUACAAGUCUUCCGUUAAAUCCACCUGCUUAACAGAUGGGCUGCGGAAGAUACUAUAGAGCUAGGAGGCGGGAGAGGCAAGCGGUACUCGAUGGGUAGGGGUAAAAUCCGUUGAUCCAUUGAAGACCACCAGUGGCGAAGGCGGCUUGCCAGAACGCGCUCGACGGUGAGGGAUGAAAGCUGGGGGAGCAAACCGGAUUAGAUACCCGGGUAGUCCCAGCUGUAAACGAUGCAGACUCGGUGAUGAGUUGGCUUAUUGCUAACUCAGUGCCGCAGGGAAGCCGUUAAGUUUGCCGCCUGGGGAGUACGGUCGCAAGACUGAA
rnacentral:rRNA from 1 species